rnacentral:lncRNA from 1 species
AGGCAGGAUUUCAGAGAAACCCGAGGAGACCACCUGGAAUCUACACUGAACCGGCAUUCGGUCCCAAUAGGGGCCCAUUGAGCCCCUCGGAUCACUGCACUCUUCAGGUGACCCUGAUUCUUCUGGUUGUGGCAUGUGGGCCGCCGCCUCAACAUGACCUGAUGAGCGGGGCCCUGUCCACGCCCAGGAUCCGAACUGGUGAACCCCUGGGCUGCCAAAGUGUAGUGCAACAACUUAACUGAGUAGUUAAGUUCAGCCACCGGGCCGGCCCAAGAAUUGUGUUUAUAUAAAGUCUGAACACACUGCUUGAUAGAGACAUGAGAGACUGGUGUGUUUAGCUGUGAAGAAAAGGGACAUUGCUCCUCCUGGCUGAAAGCCGUUCUCAGGUGCCUGAAGACCUCAUCAGGAGUGUUGGAGGAUCAAUCCUCACGCUGUGCAGCGGGCGCAUAGGGAACUCCAGUAUCAUUAACGUUAAUUAAUUGAAGGCUCGUCCAGGGAAGCUCAUAAGAGAGUUCGUCACCUGAGCUCCGAGCCCCAACGGCUGCUGGCGGGAGAAACCAAGGUGAGGUGGGCAGAAAAAUCAUGGAGAAGUACUGAGCAAGAGUUUACCAAUUCAACCCCUUUUGUCUUAUAAAUGAGGAAACAAGAG